UUGUUUUUGUGGUUCUUUUUCUUCACAAGGGUUGCCUGAUAUUACUGCAAUGAGCUUAUGGGGCACCAACCCCUCUUUUAAUGCAUGACACUAGUUGCUUCAAAUUUUACAAGAGUUGUCUGAAAUUAUAGCAAAGUUGCUGCAUGUUUUUUACUUUUUCAUAGGGGAUGCAUGCUAUUUUUUACUGCAAGGAACUCAUAUGGGGCAGUAGACCUUUUUUACGUGCCUGAUAGUAGUUGGACUCAUUGGAUGGUUAAAAGUGUUAGAGAGGUCGAUUCCGAUAUUUUGGGGCGUUUUGGUGAUCCACGUUGGAGUUGUGGUAGGCGAUUUAGAGGUGAAGUUAGUCAAUUGAUAAUCAUGGUAACCAACUUAUAAGGAUAAUCAUGGUAAUCACACUAUAGUUGCCUAUGUUAGAGAAUAUAUAUGCAUUAGUGCCACCUAUAUAUGUUGCCUCUACUUGUUGUUUUUGUGGUUCUUUUUCUUCACAAGGGUUGCCUGAUAUUACUGCAAUGAGCUUAUGGGGCACCAACCCCUCUUUUAAUGCAUGACACUAGUUGCUUCAAAUUUACAAGAGUUGUCUGAAAUUAUAGCAAAGUUGCUGCAUGUUUUUUACUUUUGCAUAGGGGAUGCAUGCUAUUUUUUACUGCAAGGAACUCAUAUGGGGCAGUAGACCUUUUUUACGUGCCUGAUAGUAGUUGGACUCAUUGGAUGGUUAAAAGUGUUAGAGAGGUCGAUUCCGAUAUUUUGGGGCGUUUUGGUGAUCCACGUUGGAGUUGUGGUAGGCGAUUUAGAGGUGAAG
rnacentral:lncRNA from 1 species